GUGCUUUGAGGUGGUCAAUUUCGUGGCAGCCACACGCCGACGGUAUUGAUAGGGGAAACCCGAGAGAUGCAGGGGAACGCCACGCCUGCCAAAGCGC
rnacentral:ncRNA from 12 species